UACGUAGGGGGCUAGCGUUGCUCGGAAUCACUGGGCGUAAAGGGUGCGUAGGCGGGUCUUUAAGUCAGGGGUGAAAUCCUGGAGCUCAACUCCAGAACUGCCUUUGAUACUGGCGAUCUUGAGUCCGGGAGAGGUGAGUGGAACUGCGAGUGUAGAGGUGAAAUUCGUAGAUAUUCGCAAGAACACCAGUGGCGAAGGCGGCUCACUGGCCCGGUACUGACGCUGAGGUGCGAAAGCGUGGGGAGCAAACAGG
rnacentral:rRNA from 1 species